AUGCUCUACUCUUGCCUUCCCUUUCUCCUGGGCACUUUUUUGGGUGUCAGUGCUCAGAUUAUCCACCAAUGGCCAGCUGUCAGGGUGCAGCCUGUGGGCAGUUCACUCUCUCUGGAGUGUACCAUAGAAGGGAAAUCAAACCCCAACCUCUACUGGUACUGGCAGGCCACAGGAGGGACCCUCCAGCAGCUCUUCUUCUCUAUCAGUGUUGGGGAGGUAGAAUCGGUGCUGUCUCGGAACCUCUCAGCCUCCAGGCCCAAGGAUGGCCUGUUCACCCUGAGCUCUGAGAAGCUGCUCCUCAGUCACUCUGGCUUCUACUUCUGUGCUUGGAGUCCACAAGGGGUAGCCGAAUCUUUGGUGGCCACUUGCUUAAUGUCACACAGCUAG